rnacentral:rRNA from 1 species
UACGUAGGGUGCGAGCGUUAAUCGGAAUUACUGGGCGUAAAGCGUGCGCAGGCGGUUUUGUAAGCCAGAUGUGAAAUCCCCGGGCUUAACCUGGGAAUGGCAUUUGGGACUGCAAGGCUUGAGUGCGGCAGAGGAGACUGGAAUUCUUGGUGUAGCGGUGAAAUGCGUAGAUAUAGGAAGGAAUACCAGUGGCGAAGGCGGCCUCCUGGAUCGAUACUGACGCUGAGGCGCGAAAGCGUGGGGAGCAAACAGG